UACGAAGGGGGCUAGCGUUGCUCGGAAUCACUGGGCGUAAAGCGCACGUAGGCGGAUUGCUAAGUCAGGGGUGAAAUCCUGGAGCUCAACUCCAGAACUGCCUUUGAUACUGGCGAUCUUGAGUCCGGGAGAGGUGAGUGGAACUGCGAGUGUAGAGGUGAAAUUCGUAGAUAUUAGCUAGAACACCAGUGGCGAAGGCGGCCAACUGGUCCGGUACUGACGCUGAGGUGCGAAAGCGUGGGGGAGCAAACAGG
rnacentral:rRNA from 1 species